AGAGUUUGAUCAUGGCUCAGGACGAACGCUGGCGGCGUGCUUAAUACAUGCAAGUCGAACGAUCCGCAAGGAUAGUGGCAAACGGGUGAGUAACACGUAAGUAACCUUCCCUCGAGACCAGCAUAACCUGCCGAAAGGCGGGCUAAUUCUGGAUGGCAUUUUCGGAAAGCAUUUUCUGAAAAUUAAAGUAGCAAUACGCUUGAGGAUGGACUUGCGGCUUAUCAGCUAGUUGGUGAGGUAACGGCUCACCAAGGCUAUGACGAGUAGCUGGUCUGAGAGGACGAUCAGUCACACUGGAACUGAGAAACGGUCCAGACUCCUACGGGAGGCAGCAGUAAGGAAUAUUCGGCAAUGGGCGAAAGCCUGACCGAGCGACGCCGUGUGGGUGAUGAAGGCCUUCGGGUCGUAAAGCCCUGUCAGGGGGGAAGAUAAUGACGGUACCCCCAGAGGAAGCUCCGGCUAACUACGUGCCAGCAGCCGCGGUAAUACGUAGGGAGCAAGCGUUGUCCGGAUUUAUUGGGCGUAAAGGGUACGUAGGCGGAUAUGUAAGUCGGAUGUGAAAGGUAUGAGCUCAACUCAUAUUACGCGUUCGAUACUGCAUUUCUCGAGAGAGAUAGAGGGAAGCGGAACUUCCGGUGUAGCGGUGAAAUGCGUAGAUAUCGGAAGGAACACCAGUGGCGAAGGCGGCUUCCUGGAUCUUUUCUGACGCUGAGGUACGAAAGCUAGGGGAGCAAACGGGAUUAGAUACCCCGGUAGUCCUAGCCCUAAACGAUGGUCACUAGGUAUAGGAGGUAUCGACCCAUUCUGUGCCGAAGCUAACGUAUUAAGUGACCCGCCUGGGAAGUACGGCCGCAAGGCUAAAACUCAAAUGAAUUGACGGGGGCCCGCACAAGCGGUGGAGCAUGUGGUUUAAUUCGAUGCUACGGGAAGAACCUUACCUGGGCUUGACAUACUAGAGGUAUCUUGGUGGAAACAUCAGGGGACCGUUAAACCGGAAUCUAGAACAGGUGCUGCAUGGCUGUCGUCAGCUCGUGUCGUGAGAUGUUGGGUUAAGUCCCGCAACGAGCGCAACCCCUACUGUUAGUUGCCAGCGGAUAAUGCCGGGCACUCUAGCGGAACUGCCUCUGAUAAAGAGGAGGAAGGCGGGGAUGAGGUCAAGUCAUCAUGGCCCUUAUGUCCAGGGCUACACACGUGCUACAAUGGUACAAACAAAGGGAAGCAAUCCUGCGAAGUAUAGCAAAUCCCAAAAAAUGUGCCUCAAUUCGGAUUGCAGGCUGCAACUCGCCUGCAUGAAGCUGGAAUCGCUAGUAAACGCAGAUCAGCUACGCUGCGUUGAAUACGUUCUCGGGCCUUGUACACACCGCCCGUCACACCAUGAAAGUUGGGAACACCCGAAGUGUUAUGUAGAUAGCCCUAAGGUGGAAUCAAUAAUUGGGGUGAAGUCGUAACAAGGUAGCCG
rnacentral:rRNA from 1 species